AGGAGCCAGCUUCUCCUCCGAGCUGACGCCAGCCGUGGUCCCCAGCCGGUGCCUGCAUUAGGGCCGGGAGCAGGACGGCCCGAGAUCCCCUAGAGUCCCCUUCCCAGGCUCAGCAGAGGGUGCUGAGGUGUGGAGGGGGCAUCCUGAAGGAGCUGCCCCGAGCAUGCAGCCCGCUGCUGCAGAGCAAGGCCCGGCCUCCUUCCUCGGAGUCCAGCCCAGAGGCGAUGAGUACGCAGGCAGCUGGACAGAUGAGAAAGCAGAGCUGGUGAGGAUGGUGACAGCGACGGCGGCAGGACUGACACCGGGCGGCCUACCUCCACCUGCCAGUUCAUGGCGAGGAGAGGACUCAUCUUGAAAACUGGGAGAUUCCAGCCCUUUUAGCUGCUUGGCACCAGAUUUAACACCAGUCAGGAAGCACAUUUUGAAGACCUUCUAUGAGCAAAGCCCUGAAACUUCACAAAAGGUAUUUUCCCCUCUGUCUGUAAUCUGAUAUUGAGUACAAAGUCGUCUCAAUUUUUUUUAUUGUGUUUGUUAUAAGUUGAAUUGUGUCUCCUGAAACUCAUAUGUUGAAGUCCUAAUCCUCCUUGUGACCUUAUUUGGGAAUAGGGCCAUUGCAGAUGGCAUUUGUUAAAGUGAGGUCAAUAGGGUGGACCCCAAUCUAAUCUGGUGACCUUAUGAAAAUGGGAAAUUUGGGCACAGAGACACACACACACACACACACACAC